rnacentral:rRNA from 1 species
UGGGGAACCACCUCUUACCAUUCCGAACAGAGAAGUUAAGCCCAUUUGCGCCGAUGGUACUGCGUAUUGUGGGAGAGUAGGUCGUCGCCUAUC